GGCGAACGGGUGCGUAACACGUGAGCAACCUGCCCUUGUGUGGGGGAUAACCCGGGGAAACCCGGGCUAAUACCGCAUGGACUCUUCGGGUCACAUGACUUGGGGAGGAAAGCUCCUUCGGGAGUGCGCAGGGAGGGGCUCGCGGCGUAUCAGCUAGUUGGUGAGGUAACGGCUCACCAAGGCGAUGACACGUAGGGGGUCUGAGAGGAUGGCCCCCCACAUUGGGACUGAGAUACGGCCCAGACUCCUACGGGAGGCAGCAGUGGGGAAUCUUGCGCAAUGGCCGAAAGGCUGACGCAGCGACGCCGCGUGCGGGAGGAAGCUCUUCGGGGUGUAAACCGCUGUCAGGAGGGACGAAGGUCCUGGGGAGGCAAUGCCCUGGGGAUGACGGUACCUCCAGAGGAAGCGCCGGCUAACUCCGUGCCAGCAGCCGCGGUAAUACGGAGGGCGCGAGCGUUGUUCGGAAUUAUUGGGCGUAAAGCGCACGUAGGCGGCUCGGUAAGUCUCACUGUGAAAGCCCGAGGCUCAACCCCGGGAGGCCAGGGGAUACUGUCGGGCUGGAGACAAGCAGAGGUUGGUAGAAUUCCGGGUGUAGCGGUGGAAUGCGUAGAGAUCCGGAGGAAUACCAGAGGCGAAGGCGGCCAACUGGGCUUGUUCUGACGCUGAGGUGCGAAAGCGUGGGGAGCGAACAGGAUUAGAUACCCUGGUAGUCCACGCCGUAAACGAUGGGCACUAGAUGCCGGUGGGAUCGAACCCUUCGGUGUCGCAGCUAACGCAUUAAGUGCCCCGCCUGGGGAGUACGGCCGCAAGGCUGAAACUCAAAGGAAUUGACGG
rnacentral:rRNA from 1 species